rnacentral:misc_RNA from 1 species
CCCUCACUUUCGAUCAGUUGUUGCUCCACGAGAUAAACGUUGGACGCAAGACAUGGGUUCCUGUGUUGCAUACCUAUUGCGACGGAAAUGUGUGCCUUCGAUCGUCCCUUCCAUCACGGCGUCCUCACGGAUGCUCGGUUGGACCGGAUAGUGGGGCUCGUGUUCCACGAACAUCGUCUCAUUCGAUCGUUCGGAUGGACCACGGGUGCCUACUCGUUCUCUCGGAUGCGGAACUCUCUUAAUGGGCGUGGGGUCAUUGGCCCUUGGUCCCUAAUCGUUAAGCGUUUAUCGCUUCACCGGAAUGACGAUCUCGCCUUGUCCUUGACCACGCGAAGCCCUCGGGCAUCGCGACGGAUCAUGCUCGGCGGACGUCGUGAAGGAAUGC